rnacentral:rRNA from 1 species
UACGUAGGGUGCGAGCGUUGUCCGGAAUUAUUGGGCGUAAAGAGCUCGUAGGCGGCUUGUUGCGUCGGAUGUGAAAGCCCGGGGCUUAACUCCGGGUCUGCAUUCGAUACGGGCAGGCUAGAGUUUGGUAGGGGAGAUCGGAAUUCCUGGUGUAGCGGUGAAAUGCGUAGAUAUCUGGAGGAACACCGGUGGCGAAGGCGGCAUCCUGGACCAACACUGACACUGAGGAGCGAAAGCCAGGGGAGCAAACGGG